CUGUAAGCCUGCGAAGGUGUGCUGUGAGGCAUGCUGGAGGUAUCAGAAGUGCGAAUGCUGACAUAAGUAACGAUAAAGCGGGUGAAAAGCCCGCUCGCCGGAAGACCAAGGGUUCCUGUCCAACGUUAAUCGGGGCAGGGUGAGUCGACCCCUAAGGCGAGGCCGAAAGGCGUAGUCGAUGGGAAACAGGUUAAUAUUCCUGUACUUGGUGUUACUGCGAAGGGGGGACGGAGAAGGCUAUGUUGGCCGGGCGACGGUUGUCCCGGUUUAAGCGUGUAGGCUGGU
rnacentral:rRNA from 1 species